UAUCAACUGCAAAAGCAAUAAGUCAAAAUAAUAAUCUGUGAAUAUUUGGAGAAAAAGAACUCGACUGCAUUGACGGUAUGUUCGAAACGUGAAAGGAUCCCAUCACAGUUUCUUUCUUUUUACGUGCAUACUCCUACCAUUACAAAGAAAUCCCUUUCAAGUGUUCGCGAAAAUUGUAAACAUGACAACAACAAAAAAUGGCCAUCGGCUAGGAAGUUGAAGAAUUUUUUCGCCGUUACUCGACGCAAAGUGCUGCCGAUUCGAAAAUGUCGUCUAGACGAUUAUCACAUUUUCCAUCCAGUUGUGGGUGGUCUUGACGUCGUCUGCUGCACGACUUCUUUCUGAAAAUUAUGUCCUCACUCCAUCAUUUUCAAAUAUUACGUACACAUUUUACCGGCAGAGUUUCUAAAAAGUCAUCAUCAUCUAUAUAGACGAUGAUGAUUCAGUUUUCUUUUUUAGCUACAUCCUCUAGAGAAACUAAAGUUAUGGCAGCGACACCGGGUGCAAUGAAAUACCUCCAUUUUAUUGUCGUCGAGUUUGAAUUAAUUCAACACACCAGAGACGUGCUCAAAAGUUACACGUGCCACUUCAGGUUACUUCCACUAAUUUGAACAACAAACCAAAACAGUAUUUAAAAUAGCAACUAGUUUUGUGAGCCACACGCAUCAACGUUCGAUUUUUGAUAUUUUCGUGAUUCCAAAACAAGGAAGAAAAAAAAAUCUUUCUUUCCCAAACAAGUAGAACUGCUCGGGUAGCAGAUACAAAUCAGCCUUCUUUCUCACGAAACAAAAAGGGGAGUUCUACUGAUGACGAUCGAUAUACAAGCCGUAUAUGGACUUGACCGUAUAUCAAAUAAGCACGCCAUUUGCAUUCGAUCCCGCCAGAAACAUUUAGCGGAAUUGUUGCGACUGUUGCGUGCAUAUCAGUAGGGUGCGGCAACCACAAAACCAAAAAGGACGCAGUGGUUCGUGUUACCCAUUCUUCUUUACACCGUUGAUUUUCUCCGGUUCACCCGCACCGUCGUUUUUUUUCUACAGAGGUGUGAUGAACGACUCUUGUUUUCGGGGUGAGAUUUUCCCAUACACACACACACACCUUCCUGUACUAUAGCACCACCAUCUGUCAAAAAUGCAUAUAUGUAAAUUCCUGGCUGUGUGUGUGUAUAUAUACACACACAUAGAAGUAAGUAUAUCCCGAGUAAGGUUUUUCCUUCAUAUCAUUUCCUUGUUCUAACUGUAUGAUGACCAGACGAAUACAUGUGAAUCGGUGUGUUA